AUGUGAUCGUCUCUCGCAUAUCAAUAAGCGGAGGAAAAGUAACUAACAAGGAUUCCCCUAGUAACGGCGAGUGAAGCGGGAAGAGCUCAAAUUUGAAAUCUUAAAGGGUUUCCCUUUACGAAUUGUAGUUUAAAGAAGUGUUUUCUGUUGAGGUUUUGGUAAAAGUUCUUUGGAAUAAGGACAUCAUAGAGGGUGAGAAUCCCGUAUUUGACCUUUACUUUCAACUUUGUGAUACACUUUCAAAGAGUCGGAUUGUUUGGGAAUGCAGUCCAAAAUGGGUGGUAAAUUUCAUCUAAAGCUAAAUAUUGGCGAGAGACCGAUAGCGAACAAGUACCGUGAGGGAAAGAUGAAAAGAACUUUGAAAAGAGAGUUAAACAGUACGUGAAAUCGUCAAAGAGGGAAGCGUUUGACACCAGUGUUGUUUUUCUGAAAAUCAAUUAAAGAACUGUUUAUGCUAAGUUGUUUAGACUUUAUCAGCUAACUGUUUAGUUUUGAGCUUUUCUUUAAUGCACUUUUCAGUUAACAAGUCAACAUCAAUUUCUUUUGCUGUAAAAAAGCUUGAGGAAGGUGGCUUGAGAUUCGUCUUAAGUGUUUAUAGCCUCUUGCCUAUGCAGUCGGAGAGAUUGAGGUCUGCAGCGUAGAUCCUUCGGGGCUAAAUGCAUUUGUGCUAAGUUAUAACAUUUUAUAGACAACUUGUUGACUAUGAUUUGUCUUGUAGCUUACUCGCUUAUGUUAUUUUACCUACGCUUAGGAUGUUGACACACGCGCGUGCUCG
rnacentral:rRNA from 1 species